rnacentral:lncRNA from 1 species
UUAGAAUGAAAUUCAAAACAGUGUGGCUGUGGCCAUUGAUUGACACAUUAAAUUCAUCCAUUGACUGGGACAAUUUACGUGAACGUUUGUCUGUAACGACCACUGUUCACGACGUACCAACUAUAGACAUUUAAACUGUGGGGUCACCAAAGGUUUCUUAACGCCUUUAAUUAUAAAAUAAUUUGAAAAAUUAAUCAGGAAUAACCUUUAUGUUUUGAUUUAUAUAAUUGAUAUAAAUCAA